UACAGAGGGUGCGAGCGUUAAUCGGAAUUACUGGGCGUAAAGCGCGCGUAGGCGGCUUUGCAAGUCGGGUGUGAAAUCCCCAGGCUUAACCUGGGAACUGCAUUCGAGACUGCAUUGCUAGAGUAUGGGAGAGGGAAGUGGAAUUUCCGGUGUAGCGGUGAAAUGCGUAGAUAUCGGAAGGAACAUCAGUGGCGAAAGCGGCUUCCUGGACCAGUACCGACGUCAGGCACGAAAGCGUGGGGAGCAAACAGG
rnacentral:rRNA from 1 species